rnacentral:lncRNA from 1 species
CCGGGGUCCCUCGCGUUCAGCGUGGAGUCUCGGGCCCCGGGUGGCUGGGGUCCCUCGCGUUCAGGGAGUGGAGUCUCGGGCCCCACAUGCACCAGCAGAGUUGCUGGAGACUCAGGCCCAGUUGUGGGGCCACAGACAGAGGAGAGGGCACUGGAUCCCAGACGGCAGGGCCCACAGCGUUCACACACCCAGGACGCAGGGUUGGGGCCAGGGAGAGCGGCAGCACCUGCAAGGGGCCGCCUCCUGGCUCACUGGUUCCCUUCCCCAUGUCUCCCCUGGGCAGCAAGACAAAUGGGGGAAGUUGCUACCAAAUACUCAUGGGCUCGUCAGGUAGAAGCAGCAAGACAUGAGGAAGAAAGCAGCUGGGGCUGAGCUCAGAGCAGGAGAAAUGACAAGGGAAGGGGUCUGGGUUCAAGGUGGUAUUUCCUAACCCCCUAAAAAGGGCAUCGAAUAGGCCAUGGGGUGGGGUGGAGAGGGCGCCACAGGAGGCGGAAGGGAGCGGGACGGCCCCUCCACGGAGGGAAGGCCCUGCAGAGCUGGUGACAGUGCUGGCCUGAAUCCGCCCGCCCCGCCGCCCUGGAGCAAGCCCGCCUCUCGGUGCCUGCUUUGCUCCAGGCUGUCUGCCUCCCUCCACGAGGCAGAGGAAGCCAGCAGAGGCCUGGGCGGACACCCCUGAGUGCCUGGGCCUGCAGAGAGGGCUGGAUGGCAGUGCCACAUGAGGGCACUGGGGCAGAAGGGCUGACCCCGGCCUGGGACCCCUGCUUGUCCCUGGGUGCCGAGAGGGGUUGCUGCAGAGUGACGACUCGAACACAGCACAAAUCACCACUUUAUUUCUAAGGGAAAGCCUGCAUUCUCACACACACCGACUCGGGGGUUUCGAACACACAUGGUUUGUACAUCUGCCCACUUAGGUUGCUCUGCAAAAUGAGGAAGAAGCCGCAUCGUGCUCACAAAUAAUACACAUUCCACACAGCAGCACAGCCUUUUGGGCGUCUUUGGAGUUUUGGGUGAAGCUUCUGGGGUUGCAGAGCCAUCCCCAACCCAGGCCUGGCCUGGUCCCUGCCCUUGCGUCAGCGUGGCCUGGGAGGCACACACAUCUUUACAGGCCCGGAAACCCCAAAGGCUGGGAGGUUUUUGUCCUCUGCUGAAUCCGGAUUUGAGACAGGCUUCACAAAAGCAGCUUUGGGCCGAGCUCCAGGCCUAGCCCUGAGGACCCCUGGCCUCCUGGAGCCCCUCCAGAGGCUGCCCGGCCAGUCUCUCGAUUCUCCAGGCACUGGGGGUUGGGAAGGGGUGGGCUCAGGGACACAAGGACCAGGGAGAGUGUGACGGGGAGGUUUCUCGCUGUUCUUCCGAGCCGGUGCAGCCUCUCUGAAGGUCACUGUGGAGGGCGCCCCAAGGCCUGAAGUGCCUUAGGGAGAGGUCACGCCCCACAGACCUGGAAGCUCUGCCCCAGUUUCCCCCAGUCUGGGCGGCUGGGCUGUGCUCCCCGCAGUCUUUACUGGCAGCACCCUGCCCUGCUGAUCCCAGAAGCAGCUGAUUGAGGGGACUGGGAAGACCCCAUGGCCUCCAGCAGGUCUCAGAAUGACUCCUGUAGUGGUUAGGACUAGGGCACUGGCCGCACCCUCAGGCCUGGGUGGGAGAUGUGGGCUGGGAGUAAACCCAGGAAUUUAGGACUAGCAGCAGCCAUCAGGGGCUGUGGUGCAGGAGCAGCCAUCAGGGCAGCACUGGGAGGCAAAGGCCCUGAGGGAGACCAGCUGGUGCCGUCCCCUCCCAAUUCCGCUCAGAUGGGCACCCUCGCCUUCCUGGGACAUAAACCCCUGGGGCUGACGUGGUGGGGAGCAGACAAUUUGGCAGCAGACGGAUGGACUAAUAACGUCUCCAGUGACGCAGGGCCCAGUCCCUGCCCUGAAGGCUGCUCAGCCCCUCCGGCCCACGUCCCGCCUCGCGAUGCCUCCUCUGUGCCAGGGCCAGGGCCUCUGCUUCGGUGCCUUCCCCCUAGCGGGCGACUGUUCGCUGGCUUUCAAAGGUGGCACUUCUCAGCUGUCAGAGCUGCAGUGACAGCCUUGGGGAGGCUGAGGGGGCCCUGUCAAGCAGGGGACACUAGUGGGGACAGGUGUGUGGCCCCUGGCUGCAGGGCCUCCUCCACCCUCCCCACUCAGGACUAUAAAUACUCAUGAUGCAAAUGGUAAAUGCUCCCAGACAUUUAUCAUAAAUUACAGGUGGAUAAUUGUGAGUCUUUAGGCCAUGAGGCCUCUUGGGGAAUAUUUCCGUUCUUUAAAAAAAAGGAGACACCAAGCCAACGGGGCAGGACGGCCGUUCAGCCUGGCUUGUGACUGGAAGCUCGCUGGGUGCAGCAGACUGGCGUGGGAGAGGCCAGGGUGCUGGGUGAGUCGGAGGCUGGGCCAGGGAGCACCGUGACCAGUGGUGGUCACUGAGGAAGUGAAGGAUGACUUGGGCCCAGGUCGGAAGCAGCCAGAGCCAGAUGAGGGGCACCUGGCCCCUUCUGCGAGGUUGGAGCAUUAUGCCAGGAACAGGUGUUCCCUGUAUACUUUUUUAAGUGAGUAAAGAGAACAGUGAUUUUCAAACAAGGGUGUGUUGGGGAGGGUGUGGGGGGCUCUUCCGUGCACCUGUUCCCUGCCUCUGCAUGAGCCCGGCACAAAGUCCUAGCUGGAGGGCCGUGGAAGCCUGGGGCCGGCACUGUGCAAAGGCUGGGUAAGCAUGCUGUCCCUCAGAGCGUCCUCAGUGGUGUAGCCAAGAGCCAGGAAGGGCAUAGCCUCCUCCCUCCUCCCUGCUGGAAGCCAGAGACCUACCACAAAGACAGACCUGCUGCCUCCACCCGUUCUCUCUCUGCCUUGCCUCUGCAACUGGUCUUUCCUCCAAGCAAACCUUUUCUGCCCGCUUCACCAUUCACUCUGCAAAUGACCGGGCCUCCAGAUCCCGUCCAGCCGCAGGAUCGACUGGGUCCGUGUCAGCGAGAGAGAUGGGGCAUUCCAGUUGUCCUGCAUGUCCUUUCAACCUUCUCCUUCCCUCUCUUCUGGAAACUGAGCAAACACCAGGCACUGGGACAACUUCUAAUUUAAUAUUAUAAUAAUAAAAGCCACGGUGGCACAGAACCAUGAACUGCAUUUUACAUUCCUAACUGAACUUCCUGCUGGGGCUGUUGUCAGGAUAAACAUGCAGAAUCAAUGGCUGCAGUUGCCAAAAUAAAUGGAGCAUGCCCACCUCUGCCGCGGCAUCGCUGCAGACCUGCCCGGCCCAGCCCGCGCCCGACCUGGGCGUCACUUGGAGGAGCUGGUCACCACACAGAAGGCAAGAUUAAAAUAAUAACACUGACAAGCGAGCUCUAAUGAGGAAAGACUCCUGGAAGGAGGCAAAUUUAAUUUUCUUUUCCUCUUUUGACACCUUUCUUCCCUGUCCAAAGGGAGGUUCUUAAUUGAAGUCUGUGAGGGGGACGCUCUGUCUCUUUAUUACCAAGUGGCCUCAGUACACAGAACGCUCGCUUUUUAUUGUAGAUUAUACCUUCCUUUUCCCCCUUGGCUCUGGAAAGGAUAAGUGAUUACAAUUUUGUUAUCUUCUAAAUUAAAAAGAAGGUGAAGUUGACUGGGCUGGAGCCGUCUGCACAGCAGUUUGACAACUGGGGUGACAGCAUAACUACUGGGCAAUUUUUUGCACAAUUCAAAAGCUUUUUUUCUCUUUUUUGCCAAGGAAUCAGUCUAACAAACACAUCCUACCCUUGCUGAAAAUAAUUUCUUUUCCCAACUCUUCUAGGAAUAAAGCACUUUUAAUGUAUUUGUCAGGAAUCGACACUUCAUUUAAUAAGGUUUAAAAAGUGACAAUUUAAAGAGCAAUUGAGAAGAGUCCCACAUCCAUCAUGGCUCGCGCUUCUAACUAAAAUCAAAAGAAUGAAAGCAGAAAAAGCACUGAGAAAAUGGCAAAACGUGUGAGGGAGAGACGGGGGGCGGGGGGCUGUUCAGAGCUGCUUCAAGUCCAACAGUGCUUGCAGCGGCUCCUGUGACACUGCCCUGCUGGGUGCUGGCUGCAGGGACACAGCUGCUGUGAGGCACACGCCCUACCCGCCCGACACUCUCAGUCCACCCCAAGUGACCCUCCCCAGAGCUGCUGGAAGGUGACUUUGAAGGCUUUUUCCCCCAAAAGCUCCAAUGAAGUUGCCUUUCUACUCUCAAAAAAAAAAAAAAAAA